AUAUACUUGCUUCACCAUAAUAACAAACAAUGUUAACAUAUAAUAAUGAUAAUCUGCAGGCAUCCAUGUAUCAAAAUUAUUUUCAGAGAAUAUGCUGGUAGAGAGGCUCUCCACAAAAAAUAUUAAUAAUGAAGAGCCUGAGUUCUAGAACUGUGGUUUUUAUGAAGAUCCUGUUUACUUAAGUUCUAACCUCUGCAUAGUUACAGAAAGACUGAGAAUUCUCAGCGGUUAGUGUUCUUGGCAAUGAUCUGGGGAAGUACAAAUGCAGCAUGGGUCAGCACAGAAGGUAGACAGGAAGGAGGUAGUGACCAGUAGGCAGCAUCCAUGAAGGAUAUAAAGAGAAAUAUGACCUGGACUCAGAGUUGCCACCACCUUAUGCUAAGGGCUCAUCGUGAAGGCUAAUUUUAAGAUAAAAACAUACCUAUACUGUAUGGUUUCUCUAAAGGAUUUGUUAGUAUUAUUAAACACACAUAUAUAAACAGUUAAUUGACUAAUAAAUAAUAUUUAUUUCUUAAAUAGUUUCUUUUUAUCUCCUCAGUGAACACUUUUGGUUGUUGACAUCAAACUCUGAGUUAUAAGAACACCUGUCAAAGGCCUGUUGGAAAGUUCCUUGAAACCAGGUGGAUUGGACUGGCCCUUUAGUCCAGUUGUAGAUGCCCACUGUGGGCAGACUGAGGAAGCGACCCUCUUACCAGGGUGUGCUUGAACAUGGCCCAGGACAUUAAAAAAAAAAAAAAUCUUGCAAUUACACUUUUCUACCACUAGAUGAUAUGCACGUAUAAGCAAGAUGAAAACCCUCCUACCUUUCCUUUCUGCAUCAGUGGCCACAGUGAUGAUAGGGGCCAUCAAAGUUUACCACCUGCCUAUGGGCCAAAUCCAGUUUACCACCUCUCUUUGUAAAUAAAGUUUUAUUGGAACACAGCCAUGCUCAUUUGUCUGGGACUGAUUUUGCUCCACAAUGACAGAGAUAAAGAAAGUGAUUAAGGACACAAUGAAUCUUGGCACAUACGUUACAUGACUGUAGCAGACAUACAUGACAAAGGCUGUAAGUAUUGAUGUACACCAUGCUUGAUACUCUUGGGUUUGUGUAAACAAGAUGAAUAGCAGUUGGCUUCAAAGCUGUGGGGAACCUAGAAAGAAGAAAUUAAAAUUAUUGCAAGGUCAGGCCAGCCUUCUGUGUGAUCCACACGUAGAAAUGUAGCUGGAAUUGAGUAGCUGCCCAUGAGCACUUUUUCCCGACAUGACACUUAUUCUGAACAUAUUGUAAGAAACUCUUUUGACACAGUAAUUCAUGAGACUGAAGAUGACUCAUCAAAUGAAAACAGUGCUUAACAUGUGAUUGAAACAUCCGUGGUCAAGUGGAGAGACACAGAAAGAAGGCAGUCAAAGGAAGUCUUCUUCUUAAUGUCCUAGUUUUCCCCCAAUCAAAGGGGGUCUUUGCUCCUUCAGUGCUGGGUAAACUUGGGCCCUCAGGAUAUCUGCUGGGGAUGGUGGAAGCUGGGAGUGGGGCUGGGGAGCAGGGUGGUAUUCAGCUUUAUGAUUUCCUAGAUUCCUAGUCAUCCUCAGGAAUGUCUUUCCCAAUAGUUUAUAAUAUGCAGUGAAGUACUGGGAUAACCCCUGAUGGUUCGUUCCACAUUUGUGAUUACUGAGCUUUCUUUCUUUCUUUUUUUUUCCUCCUGAAGAGUUUAGGUAACUAACUGCCUCAGAGUCAUACAUCAUGAGGCGGAGAGGGGAGAAUCAGGAACUGGGUGAACCAACUUAAUCCUUUGUCCCACAUGAAGAGAUGGGACCAUAUUGCCUAGAUUCCAAGGGUUUUCCACAUGGACAUGCCCCAAGCUCCUUCUCUCCCCUUCCUUUGCUCCAAGAAGACCUCUUCUAUUAUUCGUCCACAUUUUGAUGUCCUCUUUUCUUAGGAUAGAUACCCCAUCAUCCCUACAGAAAAGGAAGGUGCACUGGACUGUUCCUUCCACUCAAUCUUUGUUGACUCUAAGAAAGGAGCAGACAAUCAACUGGUGUUAACCCAUCAGUCAUCACUAUUCAGCUCAGCUGCCAAGAGAUGAAUGAGUUAGACUCAACUGUCAUUGAAGCCCUUCGAUAGACAUCACCUCACUUAGAGGUCACAACAACCCUUUGAACCCAGUGAAUCAUCUUCAUGGAUCAUCUCUGUCUGCUCCCCCUGGAGGGACCACUGAAACGGAGUCGGGGGACAGGACAGGAGAAGAGCCCAGUGUGACAGGCCAUGGCUAGUUGGGGUACACCACCUGGGGAAUGUCUGGAAACAUUUCAGAUGUGCUGACGCAUCUUGCUGCCACAGAAAAAGAAAUCUGUUUCCACAAAGAGAAGCAAGAGCUGGAGACACUGGAAGUUUAUGGACUGGAGAAGGCGGCUCGGAGAAGAAGAGCAUUCUGGCAAUCAGCGACGCUCUCCUGAGCCGCCCAGAUGUGGGCCAGAUGCUGCAAAUCUGUAGAGACACGUCGGGCUCAGUGACUUGUGCCAUGACUUUCAUCCACGUGGGCAUGGAGGAUAUUGACUGAUCUCACUCCAAUUAUUAAGAGUGACUUCAGGGCUCUGGAAACAUGAGUGUAGGAGGCUGGGACUUGAGGGGUAGUCUUGACAAUCCUCCCAGUUGAGCAGAAGGGUUUCUGGAGCUGACAGCCCUGCUCUGGGGAUACAUGUCUACUUCACAUGCCUCGCCCCACACCACCCAUAGAAGAGGGCUCAGCAGGAAACACUGAGGAUACUUCAUUGGGAAGUGAUUUGCAAUUUCUGCCUUUGCGGAAAUCAUCUCUAGCGACUUUUAUUUGGUGUUAUUAAAGAUGAUUUUGAUGUGAUAUUAACUAUAGUGAUUCUUCCUAUAAUCACUUUCUCUUUAAUCAGCCUGUAUGACCCCUUUUCUAGCUGGAAUUUCACUACACUGCUCAGCC